CCUACGGGCGGCAGCAGUGAGGAAUAUUGGUCAAUGGACGAGAGUCUGAACCAGCCAAGUAGCGUGAAGGAUGACUGCCCUAUGGGUUGUAAACUUCUUUUAUAUGGGAAUAAAAUGUUCCACGUGUGGGAUUUUGUAUGUACCAUAUGAAUAAGGAUCGGCUAACCCCGUGCCAGCAGCCGCGGUAAUACGGAGGAUCCGAGCGUUAUCCGGAUUUAUUGGGUUUAAAGGGAGCGUAGGUGGAUUGUUAAGUCAGUUGUGAAAGUUUGCGGCUCAACCGUAAAAUUGCAGUUGAAACUGGCAGUCUUGAGUACAGUAGAGGUGGGCGGAAUUCGUGGUGUAGCGGUGAAAUGCUUAGAUAUCACGAAGAACUCCGAUUGCGAAGGCAGUUCACUGGACUGCAACUGACACUGAGGCUCGAAAGUGUGGGUAUCAAACAGGAUUAGAUACCCCAGUAGUC
rnacentral:rRNA from 1 species